GACGAACGCUGGCGGCGUGCUUAACACAUGCAAGUCGAGCGGUAAGGCCCUUUCGGGGGUACACGAGCGGCGAACGGGUGAGUAACACGUGGGUGACCUGCCCUCAGCUCUGGGAUAAGCCUGGGAAACCGGGUCUAAUACUGGAUAUGACUCCAUGACGCAGUGGUUGUGGGGUGGAAAGCCUUGUGCGGCUGACGGAUGGGCCCGCGGCCUAUCAGCGUUGUUGGU
rnacentral:rRNA from 1 species